AGUAGCAUGCAUCCGAGUUUCACUCGAACUCAACAUUUGGAAUGUGGGCAAUCUUGGGCCAGUCCACACCAGAUGUCUUAUUAUAUCUUUGAUGUAACAUUGGGCACCGUUUAAUGGACAAUUUCAUUAAAGCGCGUAACAUCUGCCCUUCUGGCAAUGAAUUCAAAUUGGGGCAGCCAAAAAUUUCAAGAGAUUGGAGUGAUGAGAGGUUGCCCAUAGCUUCUGGCAAUGAAUUCAAAUUGAGGCACUCAUAAAUAACAAGAGAUUGGAGUGAUGAGAGGUUGCCGAUAGAUUCUGGCAAUGACGUCAAAUUGGGGCAAUACCUAAUCUCAAGAGAUCGGAGUGAUGAGAGGUUGCCGAUAGAUUCUGGCAAUGACGUCAAAUUGGGGCAACAGCUAAUCCGAAGAGAUUGGAGAGAUGAGAGGUAGGCCACACCUUCUUGUGGAAGAGAUUGUAGGUCAUCAAUGUUCCCAAUGGUCAUUCGCACCAAUUUGGAUAGAGAUUGGAAUGAUGAUGACGGCGAUGCACCGGAACUAGCUUCCUUAUGUGCCAUCAUCAUCGUCUCAAGUAAUGGCUUCGAGCUUGUACGAAUCAGGAAUAACCAUUCAAGAGAUGGAAAUAGUGGCAUGGAAGUUAGUUUUGGACAACUCCGAAUCCAAAGUUCCUUCAGGGAAGGGAAGAAUGGUAUUAUGUCACAACUAGUAGCAGUAUUCUGAUCAUCAUCAAUAAAAGAGCCUAACAUUUUGUGUUGAUGUGGAUAUAAAAGAGCCUAACAUUUUGUUUUUUGUUGGUGAAAUAAAAAAGCCUUACAUUGCCAUAUAAGCUUUCUGCGAACUACAUGAGUCGUUAUAUCAUAAGCUUUUUAGAAAACCAAAAAAAUAAAAAAUAAAAAAUUUCACUUACACUCUUUUUGUUUAUGUAUUUUUAAUGAAAUUUGCUUAGACGCCUUUAAUGUUAUAUAAUUACUGUUAUUUUUUCUUUUUUUUCUUUUUUUUUGGGUUGUUGUAAAGAAGACAAUUUAGUUGUUACUUGUUAGGAUAAUAAGAAUAUAACCAUGCUCCAGCUUUCAAUAAUUAAAAUUUUUGAAAAAGAUGGUAAUUCAACAUAGCAUUAAAACAAAAAUGAUCUAAAAAAUAAGAUUCCAUCCACUACAUUAUAUUUAUAUACCAAAAAACUCAAUGAGGCAGAAGUCCACAUUCCAUAUAAGAGUUUGUAUUUCCUUCUUUUUCAGGUUAAUCUAUCCUUUUAUUAGGUGUUAAAUAAUAUAGAAAUAUAGGCAACAAUGAUCAGACUGUUUGGCAAUCAAAACCUAACUAAAUAAAUUAUAGUAAUUGAACAUUGAACCAUGAAAACAAAGAAAUCAGAAUGAUUUAUUGCAGUAUCAUUUAAAAAAAAAAAAAAAGAUAUCAAAAUACUUUGAUUUGAAUACCAAAAUUGAACUAAAAUACUCAACAAUAUUAUCAAAUUAACAUUUACGAAAAUUAAAAAGUUAAAAAAAAGAAAAAAAAAAAGAGGAAGAUAAAGAAGAAAAAGAACAGAUCGCAAAAAGGACAGAGCAGAUAUCAAAAAUUGAAUCCAAAGAAUACCAAAAAUAAAUAAAUAAAUAAAAUCUGUGAAAUGUAUAAACAUAUAAUACCUUACCCAAAAUUUAGUAGUUAUAAGAAAAACAAGAACAAAUUAAUGCAUCGCACAAAAAUCCAGAAAAAAAAAUAAA